rnacentral:rRNA from 1 species
AGAGUUUGAUCAUGGCUCAGAUUGAACGCGGGAGGCCUUGAGCAAAAACACACUGCAAGUCGUACGGUAACAGAGGGAAGCUUGCUUCUCUGCUGACGAGUGGCGGACGGGUGAGUACCCGUCUGGGAAGCUGCCUGCUUGAGGGGGAUAGCGGAGCGAAAGUUCCGAUAAUACCGCGUAAGCCCGAGAGGGGAAAGUGCGGGACCGCAAGGCCGCACGCGAGCAGAUGCGCCCAGAUGGGAUUAGGCAGUUGGGGAGGUAACGGCUCACCAAACCGAUGAUCUCUAGCUGGUUUGAGAGGACAAUCAGCCACAUUGGAAUUGAGAAACGGACCAAACUCCUACGGGAGGCAGCAUUGUGGAUUAUUGCACAAUGGGGGAAACCCUGAUGCAGCCAUGCCGCGUGUGUGAAGAAGGCCUUCGGGUUGUAAAGCACUUUUGCAUUCGAGGAAGACAGCGUAUAAACAAAUGCGUUAUUUGACGUUAGAGUGUGAAUAAGCACCGGCAAACUCCGUGCCAGCAGCCGCGGUAAUACGGAGGGUGCGAGCGUUAAUCGGAAUGACUGGGCGUAAAGGGCACGCAGGUGGCGAGAUAAGUUGGAUGUGAAAUUCCCGUGCUUAACAUGGGGACUGCAUCCAAAACUGUUGAACUGGAGUACUGUAGAGGGAGGUAGAAUUCCACGUGUAGCGGUGAAAAUGCGUAGAGAUGUGGAAGAAUACCAGAGGCGAAGGCGGCCUCCUGGACAGAUACUGACACUGAGGUGCGAAAGCGUGGGNNNNCAAAACAGGAUUAGAUACCCUGGNCGUCCGCGCCGUAAACGAUGUUAACUUGAAAUAUGCGUACUACGGUAUGUGUGUUUCGCAGCAAACGCCAUAAGUUAACCGCCUGGGGAGUACGAUCGCAAGGUUAAAACUCAAAUGAAUUGACGGGGGCCCGCACAAGCGGUGGAGCAUGUGGUUUAAUUCGAUGCAACGCGAAGAACCUUACCUGGCCUUGAGAUACCGGGAAUCCUGCAGAGAUGCGGGAGUGCCUUCGGGAACCCGGAUACAGGUGCUGCAUGGCUGUCGUCAGCUCGUGUCGUGAGAUGUUGGGUUAAGUCCCGCAACGAGCGCAACCCUUAUCCUCUGUUGCCAGCACUUCGGAAAAGAACUCAGAGGAGACUGCCAGUUAUAAACUGGAGGAAGGCGGGGAUGACGUCAAGUCAUCAUGGCCCUUACGGCCAGGGCUACACACGUGCUACAAUGGGGCGUACAGAGGGAAGCCAAGCCGUGAGGCGGAGCGGAUCUCACAAAGCGUCCCGUAGUUCGGAUUGAAGUCUGCAACUCGGCUUCAUGAAGUCGGAAUCGCUAGUAAUCGCGAAUCAGAAUGUCGCGGUGAAUACGUUCCCGGGCCUUGUACACACCGCCCGUCACACCAUGGGAGCGGAAUGCACCAGAAGCAGCUUGCUUAACACUCUAUAUAAGGGGCGGCUGCCACGGUGUGUUUUGUAACUGGGGCCAUUUCAUGCAAGUCGUAACAAGGUAGCCGUA